rnacentral:rRNA from 1 species
CUACGGAGGGUGCAAGCGUUACUCGGAAUCACUGGGCGUAAAGCGCGCGCAGGCGGUCUUUUAAGUUGGAUGUGAAAGCCUACGGCUCAACCGUAGAACUGCAUCCAAAACUAUUAGACUAGAGUGUGGGAGAGGAAGAUGGAAUUAGUUGUGUAGGGGUAAAAUCCGUAGAGAUAACUAGGAAUACCAAAAGCGAAGGCAAUCUUCUGCAACACUACUGACGCUGAGGCGCGAAAGCGUGGGGAGCAAACAGGAUUAGAAACCCUAGUAGUCC